CGCAAGAUAUGGAGCAAUCAAUCACGUUCCCUAAUCAAGUUGGACUUUGAUUAGCUGAGCAUUAAUGUUCAUUAAAGCCUAGGGAUAAAUAUCAAACGGUAUAACCUCGGCCCAAGUCAACCGAUUUGAGUCAAGAAUUGGACCAUAUGGUAUAGUUCCGUGAACGUAGAGAGCAAAUAAAAGACUCGCCAUGUUGGCGGAGUACUGGCGCUUAAUUGCGUUAUUGUGGAUACCACCUGCACUUCUAGCUACGUCUGUGGAUAUACGUA